AUGCCUUAUGACAUCCCCAUGGAACCUUGGGUGAAGGCCCAUACAAGCCCCAUAGCCUUCCAGCUGUGGGACUACAUAUAUACACACUCACUGUCUCACUCACACCGAGGUUAUGGAAAACAACCGAAAACUAAAUUACCGAAGCCUCUCAUGAGGCAACCUGAGCCUCCAGUGACAUCUCACGUCGAAUUAUUUCUUCUGACUGGGCAAGCAUUGAAAUUGCCGAAGACCUGUCUGGAUACACCAUCAGUUAAUCAAGGAACAAACAUGGGUGUAUAACUCCUCUGCAAAGCAAUUGAGGAAAAAACAUAUAAUUAGACUUUCUUUCUACAUCCCUUCACUUCUGGAAAGUGAUGAAAGUACAUGGGAAAGUUGAGAUGUAUAUCUCAGGGGAAAAGGACAAGAGCACAUGUGAAGAUGGUGAGUCAUUUUUUUUUAUUGCUUUCACUUAUGAAACAUCGUUUGUGAGCAGAGCUUGUAAUAUCAUAGCUUGCAGGUUGGAUGUCAGAAAACAUCUCUAAUGAUACUAUUUCUAGAACUCUCUGGAGUAACUAAAAUGUUUGGCUUUAAAUAAUAGAUAACCUGUCCCACCCUACCUUACACAAUUAUGAAACUCAUUAGUGCACAUAGUAGGAGGCCUAGGGUUAACACAGGUCCCAGAUCCACUGUGAACUCUUUUUCUACUUCUGUUCUGCAGUCGACAUUGUUGGCUAUACCUUAAAGCUUGUUCCUCUUUUGUUAAUGGAUAACUGUUAAGAAUAUUGCUUCCUUUUUUUUAUCAUAAGGGAAGUAAAAUCAUUUAGUCUUUUUUUUUUUUUUUUUUGAGAUGUAAUCUUGCUCUGCUGCCCAGGCUGGAGUGCAGUAAUGCAAUCUCGGCUCACUGCAACCUCCACCUCUCCUGCCUCAGCUUUCCAAGUAGUUGAGAUUACAGACACCCAACACCACACCUCGCUAAUUUUUGUAUUUUAAUAGAGAUGGGGUUUCACCAUGUUGGCCAGGCUGGUUUUGAACUCCUGACCUCAAGUGAUUCCCCCACUUCAGCCUCCCAAAAUACUGGAAUUACAGGCAUGAGCCACCACACCCAGCCCAUUUAGUCUUUCUUUAGUGAACAAAGAUUAUGUUUCCUCAGAUCUUGUAGCAAAUUUGCCUUGAAUUUCAUUGGCUAGAAUUUAGGCAAAUGUUUAUUUGUGAACCAAAUAUUGUCAUUAGGAUUAUCUUUAGACCAAUCAGGUGGCCAUCUGAGCUCAGUUUUCCAAAUGGCAUUGCUAUUACUUCAUGUAGCUUUACCACAAUGCCCAUUAAGCUCGUAAUAAUGUCUCAUUAUUAUAUUUGAUUAAUUUCUUUACUUGUAAUCACAAUGCCAUCAUUUCUGUUCUUUCUUACAUGUACGACAUAAAUUUAAAAUACUAGUCAUCUAAACUUCAGAAUUUUGUGGGAGUUUUUAGAUAAUGGCCAA
rnacentral:lncRNA from 1 species